GCUCCGUUAGCUCAGCUGGAUAGAGCAACUGCCUUCUAAGCAGUGGGUCUCAGGUUCGAAUCCUGAACGGAGCG
rfam:Prochlorococcus marinus subsp. marinus str. CCMP1375 complete genome.